CUCUGACAUCACCAGCCAGAAGUCAUCAAGUUCCGCAUCCUCAGAGGCAUCCGAGACCUGCCAGUCAGUCAGUGAGUGCAGCUCUCCCACAACGUCUGGCUCGUCCUUCGCUACCUUCCGCCCUGCUCUCUCUCACACUGGCUCCAUCAGGCCUCUCUCUGUCAUACUUCCUGCGUCCCCA